rnacentral:rRNA from 1 species
CCUGGCUUAGGACGAACGCUGGCGGCGUGCCUAAUACAUGCAAGUCGAACGGUCUUUCUAUGGAAGCUUGCUUCCACUGAGAAGAUAGUGGCGAACGGGUGAGUAACACGUGGGGUAACCUGCCCAUAAGAGGGGGGAUAACAUCCGGAAACGGGUGCUAAUACCGCAUAGUUUUCUUGAUCGCAUGAUUGAGAAAGGAAAGACGGCCUUUGUGCUGUCGCUUAUGGAUGGACCCGCGGCGUAUUAGUUAGUUGGUGAGGUAACGGCUCACCAAGACGAUGAUACGUAGCCGACCUGAGAGGGUGAUCGGCCACAUUGGGACUGAGACACGGCCCAAACUCCUACGGGAGGCAGCAGUAGGGAAUCUUCCGCAAUGGACGAAAGUCUGACGGAGCAACGCCGCGUGAGUGAAGAAAGGUUUUCGGAUCGUAAAACUCUGUUGUCAGAGAAGAACAAGUUGGAGAGUAACUGCUCCAGCCUUGACGGUAUCUGACCAGAAAGCCACGGCUAACUACGUGCCAGCCGCCGC